ensembl:snRNA U2 U2 spliceosomal RNA
AUAGCUUUUUAGCCUUUGGCUAAGAUCAAGUAGAGUGUUUGUUCUCCUGGCUUUUAAUAAGUAAUGUGUUCUCCAUCCAAGGACAACAAAUUUAGGCUGUACAUGCAUUACAAAGUAUUAAGCUCCUGUUAACAGCAAAUUUCUCAACAAGAGAUUUAUGUGAAUUCUCUUGGAUGUUA